rnacentral:rRNA from 1 species
AUGAACGCUGGCGGCGUGCCUAAUACAUGCAAGUCGAACGAGUUCUCGUUGAUGAUCGGUGCUUGCACCGAGAUUCAACAUGGAACGAGUGGCGGACGGGUGAGUAACACGUGGGUAACCUGCCCUUAAGUGGGGGAUAACAUUUGGAAACAGAUGCUAAUACCGCAUAGAUCCAAGAACCGCAUGGUUCUUGGCUGAAAGAUGGCGUAAGCUAUCGCUUUUGGAUGGACCCGCGGCGUAUUAGCUAGUUGGUGAGGUAAUGGCUCACCAAGGCGAUGAUACGUAGCCGAACUGAGAGGUUGAUCGGCCACAUUGGGACUGAGACACGGCCCAAACUCCUACGGGAGGCAGCAGUAGGGAAUCUUCCACAAUGGACGCAAGUCUGAUGGAGCAACGCCGCGUGAGUGAAGAAGGCUUUCGGGUCGUAAAACUCUGUUGUUGGAGAAGAAUGGUCGGCAGAGUAACUGUUGUCGGCGUGACGGUAUCCAACCAGAAAGCCACGGCUAACUACGUGCCAGCAGCCGCGGUAAUACGUAGGUGGCAAGCGUUAUCCGGAUUUAUUGGGCGUAAAGCGAGCGCAGGCGGUUUUUUAAGUCUGAUGUGAAAGCCCUCGGCUUAACCGAGGAAGCGCAUCGGAAACUGGGAAACUUGAGUGCAGAAGAGGACAGUGGAACUCCAUGUGUAGCGGUGAAAUGCGUAGAUAUAUGGAAGAACACCAGUGGCGAAGGCGGCUGUCUGGUCUGUAACUGACGCUGAGGCUCGAAAGCAUGGGUAGCGAACAGGAUUAGAUACCCUGGUAGUCCAUGCCGUAAACGAUGAAUGCUAGGUGUUGGAGGGUUUCCGCUCUUCAGUGCCGCAGCUAACGCAUUAAGCAUUCCGCCUGGGGAGUACGACCGCAAGGUUGAAACUCAAAGGAAUUGACGGGGGCCCGCACAAGCGGUGGAGCAUGUGGUUUAAUUCGAAGCAACGCGAAGAACCUUACCAGGUCUUGACAUCUUUUGAUCACCUGAGAGAUCGGGUUUCCCCUUCGGGGGCAAAAUGACAGGUGGUGCAUGGUUGUCGUCAGCUCGUGUCGUGAGAUGUUGGGUUAAGUCCCGCAACGAGCGCAACCCUUAUGACUAGUUGCCAGCAUUUAGUUGGGCACUCUAGUAAGACUGCCGGUGACAAACCGGAGGAAGGUGGGGAUGACGUCAAAUCAUCAUGCCCCUUAUGACCUGGGCUACACACGUGCUACAAUGGAUGGUACAACGAGUUGCGAGACCGCGAGGUCAAGCUAAUCUCUUAAAGCCAUUCUCAGUUCGGACUGUAGGCUGCAACUCGCCUACACGAAGUCGGAAUCGCUAGUAAUCGCGGAUCAGCACGCCGCGGUGAAUACGUUCCCGGGCCUUGUACACACCGCCCGUCACACCAUGAGAGUUUGUAACACCCGAAGCCGGUGGCGUAACCCUUUUAGGGAGCGAGCCGUCUAAGGUGGGACAAAUGAUUAGGGUG